UACGUAGGAGGCGAGCGUUGUCCGGAGUUACUGGGCGUAAAGGGUGCGCAGGCGGCGGUUCGCGUGGCGAGAUGAAAUCUCCUGGCUUACCUGGGAGGAUGGUCGCCAGACGGGAUCGCUUGAGGGUCGGAGAGGGGCGUGGAAUUCCGGGUGGAGCGGUGAAAUGCGUAGAGAUCCGGAGGAACACCGACGGCGUAGGCAGCGCCCUGGACCGGUAUUGACGCUGAGGCGCGAAAGCUAGGGGAGCAAACAGG
rnacentral:rRNA from 1 species